GAUCCUGCUCAGGAUGAACGCUAGCUACAGGCUUAACACAUGCAAGUCGAGGGGCAGCAUGAACUUAGCUUGCUAAGUUUGAUGGCGACCGGCGCACGGGUGAGUAACACGUAUCCAACCUGCCGAUGACUCGGGGAUAGCCUUUCGAAAGAAAGAUUAAUACCCGAUGGCAUAGUUCUUCCGCAUGGUAGAACUAUUAAAGAAUUUCGGUCAUCGAUGGGGAUGCGUUCCAUUAGGUUG
rnacentral:rRNA from 1 species